GAUGAACGCUAGCGGCAGGCUUAAUACAUGCAAGUCGAGGGGCAGCAGGUCCCGCAGCAAUGCGGGAUGCUGGCGACCGGCAAACGGGUGCGGAACACGUACACAACCUUCCUUUAAGCGGGGAAUAGCCCGGGGAAACCCGGAUUAAUACCCCAUAGUAUAUUGAAGAGGCAUCUCUUUAUUAUUAAAGAUUUAUUACUUGAAGAUGGGUGUGCGGCUGAUUAGGUAGUUGGCGGGGUAACGGCCCACCAAGCCUACGAUCAGUAACUGGUGUGAGAGCACGACCAGUCACACGGGCACUGAGACACGGGCCCGACUCCUACGGGAGGCAGCAGUAAGGAAUAUUGUCAAUGGACGAAAGUCUGAACCAGCCAUGCCGCGUGGAGGAUGAAGGUCCUCUGGAUU
rnacentral:rRNA from 1 species